AGGACUUAGCUGGCUCUGUGAACA
rnacentral:miRNA from 1 species